rnacentral:tRNA from 1 species
UCAAGUUAUAGUAAAAUUUAUUAUUUUUUAUUUACAAUAAAAAGUUGCCUUUAUAGGAUUAUUUGAU